UACAGAGGGUGCGAGCGUUAAUCGGAAUUACUGGGCGUAAAGCGUGCGUAGACGGCUAUCUAAGUCGGGUGUGAAAGCCCCGGGCUCAACCUGGGAAUUGCAUUCGAGACUGAAUAGCUAGGGUACGGUAGAGGGAAGCGGAAUUCCCGGUGUAGCGGUGAAAUGCGUAGAGAUCGGGAAGAACAUCGGUGGCGAAAGCGCUCUACUGGACGGUAUCUGACACUGAGGGACGAAAGCUAGGGGAGCGAAUGGG
rnacentral:rRNA from 1 species